rnacentral:rRNA from 1 species
CCUACGGGUGGCAGCAGUGGGGAGUAUUGGACAAUGGGCGAAAGCCUGAUCCAGCCAUGCCGCGUGUGUGAAGAAGGCCUUCGGGUUGUAAAGCACUUUCAGUGGGGAAGAAAGCCUUGGGGCUAAUACCCUCGAGGAAGGACAUCACCCACAGAAGAAGCACCGGCUAACUCCGUGCCAGCAGCCGCGGUAAUACGGAGGGUGCGAGCGUUAAUCGGAAUUACUGGGCGUAAAGCGCGCGUAGGCGGUCUGAUAAGCCGGUUGUGAAAGCCCCGGGCUCAACCUGGGAACGGCAUCCGGAACUGUCAGGCUAGAGUGCAGGAGAGGAAGGUAGAAUUCCCGGUGUAGCGGUGAAAUGCGUAGAGAUCGGGAGGAAUACCAGUGGCGAAGGCGGCCUUCUGGACUGACACUGACGCUGAGGUGCGAAAGCGUGGGUAGCAAACAGGAUUAGAUACCCGGGUAGUC